AUCAAAACUUUCAACAACGGAUCUCUUGGUUCUGGCAUCGAUGAAGAACGCAGCGAAAUGCGAUAAGUAAUGUGAAUUGCAGAAUUCAGUGAAUCAUCGAAUCUUUGAACGCACAUUGCGCCCGUCAGUAUUCUGGCGGGCAUGCCUGUUCGAGCGUC
rnacentral:rRNA from 1 species